rnacentral:SRP_RNA from 1 species
GCCGGGCGUGGUGGCGCGUGCCUGUAAUCCCAGCUACUCAGGAGACUGAGGCAGGAGACUCACUUGAGCCUGGGAGGCAGAGGUUGCAGUGAGCCAAGAUUGCGCCACUGCAUUCCAGCCUGGGCAACAGGGUGAGACCCUGUCUCAA